GACGAACGCUGGCGGCGUGCCUAAUACAUGCAAGUAGAACGCUGAAGGAGGAGCUUGCUUCUCUGGAUGAGUUGCGAACGGGUGAGUAACGCGUAGGUAACCUGCCUGGUAGCGGGGGAUAACUAUUGGAAACGAUAGCUAAUACCGCAUAAUAGUAGAUGUUGCAUGACAUUUGCUUAAAAGGUGCAAUUGCAUCACUACCAGAUGGACCUGCGUUGUAUUAGCUAGUUGGUGGGGUAACGGCUCACCAAGGCGACGAUACAUAGCCGACCUGAGAGGGUGAGCGGCCACACUGGGACUGAGACACGGCCCAGACUCCUACGGGAGGCAGCAGUAGGGAAUCGUCGGCAAUGGACGGAAGUCUGACCGAGCAACGCCGAGUGAGUGAAGAAGGUUUCCGGAUCGUAAAGCUCUGUUGUAAGAGAAGAACGAGUGUGAGAGUGGAAAGUUCACACUGUGACGGUAUCUUACCAGAAAGGGACGGCCAACUACGUG
rnacentral:rRNA from 1 species